rnacentral:rRNA from 1 species
GACGAACGCUGGCGGCGUGCUUAACACAUGCAAGUCGAACGGAAAGGCCCUGCUUUUGUGGGGUGCUCGAGUGGCGAACGGGUGAGUAACACGUGAGUAACCUGCCCUUGACUUUGGGAUAACUUCAGGAAACUGGGGCUAAUACCGGAUAGGAGCUCCUGCUGCAUGGUGGGGGUUGGAAAGUUUCGGCGGUUGGGGAUGGACUCGCGGCCUAUCAGCCUGUUGGUGGGGUAGUGGCUUACCAAGGCGUUGACGGGUAGCCGGCCUGAGAGGGUGACCGGCCACAUUGGGACUGAGAUACGGCCCAGACUCCUACGGGAGGCAGCAGUGGGGAAUAUUGCACAAUGGGCGCAAGCCUGAUGCAGCAACGCCGCGUGCGGGAUGACGGCCUUCGGGUUGUAAACCGCUUUCGCCUGGGACGAAGCGAGAGUGACGGUAAUGGGUAAAGAAGCGCCGGCUAACUACGUG